rnacentral:pre_miRNA from 1 species
CCCUUCCGGGCAUGCGAUUCGUCAUUAUCGCGGCCGGCUCGCCUAAGCAAGUGGAGCCGGCCGCGAUAAUGACGAAUCGCAUGCCCGGAAGGG